GGGGAUGGGGAAAAAAAUCCCCAACUAGAUUUGGACCAGGGAUGGGGAUGAUGCUUUUCUCGACCCAUCCUCGAUCCAUCCAAUUUUUUUAUUUUAUUAUAUAUAUAAUAUAAGAUAUAAAUAUUAAAAAUAAACAAACCUAAUCCUAGAAAAAUCACUUCUACUUUCUCUCCACACUUCAAAUCUCACACACUCUUCGCUA
rnacentral:lncRNA from 1 species